ensembl:lncRNA
GUAGGUUUUGGCUCCAAUGCACCUUCUCAGUUCACAUCUACUACUUCACCCUAUUUUAUUUUCAUCCUUGCCCUUGUCGCUACCUUUAAAACUCUCUGAAUCUCCGAGACUCUGGCUGCCCAGCUCCUCCAUAAUAACCAGGCAUGGAUGAGACAGAGAUUUUACAACCCUCACUGGAAUAUCCUGCUGCCUGAAAAAGCACCACGGACCUGGAGUCUUGAAACCAGAGGCAGCCCGAAUCCAGCCACUGUCCCUGCUCCUCAGCAGGGUUGAUUAAUUCAGGGCCACCGUCCAGCCUCUUCCCUCAGGUCUUGCUGGAUCCUCCUAACCCUGUCGUCUUCCCAGGCCCAGGUGGCAUUGGCUGCCAGCUGUCGCCACCCCAAGGUGCCUCGCCACCAUUCCUUCACCAGGAUUUGCCUGAUGGUCCAGUGGAUAGGAAUCUGCUUGCCAACACGAGGGACAUGGGUUUGAUCUCUGGUCAGAGAAGAUUCCACAUGCCUCAGGACAACUAAGCCCAUGGGCCACAGAACUAUUGAGCCCACGUGCCCCAGAGCCCAAGUUCGACAAGAGAAGCCACAGCAAUGAUAAGCCUGUAUGACACUCCUACAGAGGAGCUGGCCUCAGCAAUGAAGACCCAUCACAGCCAAAAAUAAAUAGGAAAAUAAAGUUGUUUAAAAAAAAAAAGCUUCCACUCCCAUGACCAUUGUCUGAGGUUCAACAGCAGGAGUUUAUCAAAGAAGGGGAACAUCCAGCUAAGACUAGUACCUCAGAAGGUUUAACAGAAGGUUAGAAACACACCUAUUUUAAGGUUUGCAGCCUAAAUGUCACAUAGGAAUAAAAAGGAACCCCAGUGAAGGACUCCUCACAUAGAAUUCCAUCACAAAUUAAUCACAGGUUAUCAUAAGUUGAGGGAAAUGGCAGUAUAGCAGAAAAAAUUUAUUUUAAUUUAUACCUCUAAUUAAGCAACAUUUGAAACUUUUCUGUUUAGUUGAAAGUCUGUUUAUCUACUGCUGAAUAAUAAAAUACCCCCAAACAUAUAUACAUAUGUGUGUGUGUAUAAUUCACAUACCAUUAAAUUCCCCCUAAGGCAUACAAUUCAGUGGUUUUUUCAGUAUAUUCACAAAUUGGUCAGACUAUCACCGCUAACUCCAGAACAUAUAGUGUCAAGUGUAAACUGUUAGUCGCUCAGCAGUGUCCAGCUCUUUGCAACUCCAUGACUGUAGCCUCCCAAGCUC